GCGGAUGGCUGGAUGACCGCGAGGGGCAACCUUCGAGGAAAGUCCGGGCUCCAUGAAGCAAGGGUGCCGGGUAACGCCCGGCGGGGGCAACCCCAGGGAAAGCGCCACAGAGAUGAGACAGCCUUCGCCUUGUGCGCAGGUGAUGGUGAAACGGUGGAGUAAGAGCCCACCGCGGACCGGGUAACCGGGACGGCACGGCAAGCCCCACCCGGAGCAAUGCCGAAUAGGGGCCUCGCGCGGGGCUGGUCCGGGAAACCGGAUACCGCCGCAGGGAUGCUUCAGCCCGAGAGGCCCGGGUUGGCAGCUGGACCCCACCGGUGACGGCGGGGCGAGAGGAAUGGUCAUCCAGAGGGGCAACCCUUGGACAGAACCCGGCUUACAGGCCAUCCGCGCAC
rnacentral:RNase_P_RNA from 1 species